AUUGAACGCUGGCGGCAGGCCUAACACAUGCAAGUCGAAUGGUAACAGGAAACAGCUUGCUGUUUCGCUGACGAGUGGCGGACGGGUGAGUAAUGUCUGGGAAACUGCCUGAUGGAGGGGGAUAACUACUGGAAACGGUAGCUAAUACCGCAUAACGUCGCAAGACCAAAGAGGGGGACCUUCGGGCCUCUUGCCAUCAGAUGUGCCCAGAUGGGAUUAGCUAGUAGGUGGGGUAACGGCUCACCUAGGCGACGAUCCCUAGCUGGUCUAAGAGGAUGACCAGCCACACUGGAACUGAGACACGGUCCAGACUCCUACGGGAGGCAGCAGUGGGGAAUAUUGCACAAUGGGCGCAAGCCUGAUGCAGCCAUGCCGCGUGUAUGAAGAAGGCCUUCGGGUUGUAAAGUACUUUCAGCGGGGAGGAAGGGAGUAAAGUUAAUACCUUUGCUCAUUGACGUUACCCGCAGAAGAAGCACCGGCUAACUCCGUG
rnacentral:rRNA from 1 species